UCCGCCGGAGAAAGUCUCCGCGCUAAAUGGCGCCGGGAGUCUGAAGCCUCCACACAGCCCGCUUGAACCCCGCCCCCCGCCGCCCGGGGCAACCCCACCCCCACCUCACUGUCCGGGCCCUCGCGCAGGCGUGCUAGUGCUGAGGCUCCCUGGUACUUGUAGUUUACGAAUUCGAGCCCUGAAAGGCACUGAGGAGGAAGGAGCCUACGACUUCCGUGAUGCCCUGCGGCUAUUUUAGGCUGAUGCCUCAUGGGAGUUGUAGUUUUCUUUGGAAACCGCCCCUUCUGGAAGGCUGAUGGGAGCGUCAUCGUGGGUCGCUAAAUCCCCUCCUGAAGUCUGCGUUAGCUAGGAAGAUCAUUAUUUAGGCAUUAAUUGUGGAAGAAGGGAAGGAAGAAAAAAAAAAAGAGGGAGGAAGAAGGGGAAAAGCGAUUCCCAUCAUGCUCUGCUGAGGCGAGAGAUCUCUUAGGGUUACCAUGCAAUGAAAAAUGAUCUGUUGUUCUUUAAUGGAGAGCCGCAAUAGUGUUGAGUGACUGUGGAGGUGGAGGGGAAUGGCAAAGCAGGAUAAGCAGAGCCUGAGCCUAGAAAGUCAGAGGAGCCAAAGACUCCUUCUGUAAGGUAUAAGAAACUUUGUGAGGAUUGCGCAUGCGAUUAAUAUUGAUUAAAUGGGUUGGAGAAGGAAACAGGGAAAAUCAUCUUCUAUCUUCUGCCUUCCAUGACAAUUAAGGCCACAUUCUCAGCUCCAGUCCCUAGACAGAUAUUCUGGCUCUCAUAGAUGGGCUGCCCUACUGAAAUCCAGAAUCGUGGUGAAUUCUAUCUUUGCUUGGCCAGAAAAAAUGAACAUGCAAAGGGGACUGAAAAAAGCUCUGCACAUCUCUGCGCCUUGUACCACAAACUCGAGAGAGCUUAGUUGACUUCUACCUACUUCGUUCGUUGAAGCUUAUUUUCCAUUUCGCUUGGUGCCUUAGUAAAACAACGUCACGUCUUUCUCUAUAGGAGGCUGAAUGUAUACAUGCAGUUUAUGCCGAGGCUCUAGACACAGGAAAUCUGGAUCUGUACAAUUCGUAGUAAUGGAACACUUUUCUUAAAAGCAUCCUUAUGCUCCCUGGACCCCAUUGCUCCUCGCAACUGUUAAGAGUGUACAGGUGAUGAGCACCAGGGGGCACCAGACAGAAUAGGAAGCCAGACCUAGGAGUCAGAUGGCAGUUAAAAGUCUUAGCCCAACCGGUAAGGGCGGGAAGCACUUAAACGUACGCAACCGCAUCAGAGCGUCGACACGCCGCUGCCUCUCGUCAGCGCCCGCUAUGGAACGAACUCAGAAGCGCACAUCCUAAGCCAAGGACCAUACUAAGAUCUCACAGGAAAAGCAGAGCAACUGUGUCCACAAAUGCAGAUCUGCAAGAACUGUUUCUCCCACAUCAAUUAAUUUAUCUGGGACAGAGGUGCCUGCUACCAUCUCAUCAAAUGUCCUGCAUAUUCAAUAGUAGCAGCUGGAACAUGAAGUCUGUGGCUUUUGGCUGUGUUAGAUGGGACCUCCUAGAGUUGCUGGCCACUUCCUGACCCCAAACGUAAUUCUGCAAAACUGGUCUUGAAAAACAUUAUGAAGCUGACUCCUAGACCCCUCAAGGCUUAAAUCAAGAAUUUAUGUCGAAUAGAAAAUAAGAGGCAAAAGGAGCUUCCAAGGGACACCUUCCUGCCAGAUGGAGAGAACCCUUCUGAGAAAAAUGCCAAGGCAGGAUAAAGCAGAGCCAGUAAAGUUUCAGGAAGAUGGAGAGCAUGAGCAAACAAGCUGAUGACCGUGGACCCAGCCUUGCCCGAACCUUAGGAGCUCUAACACUCAGAGCCAGUGAAUUGCUUCUCUGUUUUGCUUUUGCACAGACUCUGCUUUGCAAAGAAUGAUAUCCUUCUCCAAGAACUGGCCCCUCCUGAUAACAUGUCCAAAGUAUGUGAGACGAAGUCUUGCCAUCCUCACUUCUAAGGAGCAUUCUGGCGGUACUUCUUUCAAGACGGAUUUGUUCAGGCAAUCCAUGGUAUAUUCAAUAUUCUUCACCAACACCAUAAUUCAAAGACAUCAAUUCUUCUUUGGCCUUCCUCAUUCAUUGUCCAGCUUUCGCAAGCAUGUGAGGUGAUUGCAAAUUUCAUGGCUUGAGCCAGGCACACCUUAGACCUCAAAGUUACAUCCUUGUUUUUCAACACUUUAAAGAGGUCUUUUGGAACAGAUUUGCCCAAUGCAAUACAUCAUUUUAUUUCUUGACUGCUGCUUCCAUGAGUGUUGAUUGUGGAUCCAAGUAA